rnacentral:rRNA from 1 species
GAUGAACGCUGGCGGCGUGCCUAAUACAUGCAAGUCGAGCGAACAGACGAGGAGCUUGCUCCUCUGUCGUUAGCGGCGGACGGGUGAGUAACACGUGGAUAACCUACCUAUAAGACUGGGAUAACUUCGGGAAACCGGAGCUAAUACCGGAUAAUAUAUUGAACCGCAUGGUUCAAUAGUGAAAGACGGUUUUGCUGUCACUUAUAGAUGGAUCCGCGCCGCAUUAGCUAGUUGGUAAGGUAACGGCUUACCAAGGCAACGAUGCGUAGCCGACCUGAGAGGGUGCUAGGCCCCCCGGGAACGGAGCCACGGUCCAGACCCCUACGGGAGGCAGCAGUCGGGAAUCGUGAGCCAUGCGCGCAGGCCUGCAGCAGCCCCGGGCAGUGCGUGAUGAGGGUGUCCGCAUCGUAAAACUCUGUUAUCAGGGCCGACCAAAUGUGUCCGUACAUAUGCCCGUCUUGACGGUCCCCAAUCAGAAAGCCACGCCUACUUACGUC